GAGCACACUCGAAUCGUGUAGUACUGUGAGAUGGCUAAGUGUACACUCUACACUCCCCUAGUGUGAGGAGGGGCUCGCGCUGUGUGCUCUCUCCUCACACAAAACACAAACACCGGCACACAAUGUGCCAAGGAACCAAAAUUAUUCCACUGCCCCCCCGUUGGCACCGGAGACGGUGCCCUCGCGGGACGUGUGAUGCAUGAUAAUAUAUAAACGACUCUCGGCAACGGAUAUCUAGGCUCUUGCAUCGAUGAAGAACGUAGCGAAAUGCGAUACUUGGUGUGAAUUGCAGAAUCCCGUGAACCAUCGAGUUUUUGAACGCAAGUUGCGCCCAAAGCCAUUAGGUUGAGGGCACGUCUGCCUGGGCGUCACAUAUCGUUGCCCUGUGCCCCAUGCCUAUUGAUAGGCACCGUGCAGGGCGAAUGUUGGCUUCCCGUGAGCUCUUUUGCCUCACGGUUGGCUGAAAACUGAGUCCUUGGUAGGGUGUGUGCCAUGAUAGAUGGUGGUUGUGUGACCCACGAGACCGUUCAUGUGCAGCUCUACCAGAUUUGGCCUCUACGACCCACUUGCGUCCUGGAUGCUCAUGA
rnacentral:rRNA from 1 species